AAUCAACGCUGGCGGCGUGCCUCAGACAUGCAAGUCGAACGAUUAAGACUUCCUUCGGGAAGUGCAUAAAGUGGCGCACGGGUGAGUAACACGUAAGUAAUCUACCCUCGAGUGGGGAAUAACGUUCGGAACGGACGCUAAUACCGCAUAACGCAGCGGCACCGCAAGGUGACAGUUGUUAAAGGAGUAAUUCGCUUGAGGAGGAGCUUGCGGCAGAUUAGCUUGUUGGUAAGGAACGGCUUACCAAGGCUACGAUCUGUAUCCGGUCUAAGAGGACGGUCGGACACACUGACACUGAAUAACGGGUCAGACUCCUACGGGAGGCAGCAGUCGGGAAUUUUGACAAUGGGCGAAAGCCUGACCCAGCAACGCCGCGUGAAGGAUGAAGUAUUUC
rnacentral:rRNA from 1 species